UAUCGGCAUAGGUUUGUUAGAUGCUAAGCUAGCACACUGACCCUGGCUAUAUCGGCAUAGGUUUGUUACAUGCUAAGCUAGCACACUGACCCUGGCUAUAUCGGCAUAGGUUUGUUACAUGCUAAGCUAGCACACUGACCCUGGCUAUAUCGGCAUAGGUUUGUUACAUGCUAAGCUAGCACACUGACCCUGGCUAUAUCGACAUAGGUUUGUUACAUGCUAAGCUAGCACACUGACCCUGGCUAUAUCGGCAUAGGUUUGUUACAUGCUAAGCUAGCACACUGACCCUGGCUAUAUCGGCAUAGGUUUGUUACAUGCUAAGCUAGCACACUGACCCUGGCUAUAUCGGCAUAGGUUUGUUACAUGCUAAGCUAGCACACUGACCCUGGCUAUAUCGGCAUAGGUUCGAAUCCGUUGCCACAACCUCUCUCUAUCUUUCCCCACGGUCAUUCUCUCUCGCUAUCUGUUCAAUAAAACCUGGAAAUCCCUUAAAAUAUAUAUCUAACAAAAGAAGAAUCAUAGUAACUUCAUUACCAUACAAUAACCAUAUCAUAACCGUAGUGCAGAAACACUGAUACCGAGAUGCCAGUGCAGGAGACAGGACUGGUAAAAGCGUCAUCACAUUGGGCUUUAGUACUGUGCUUUCUAAUGAUCCUUUUCAAAAAGCUUUAGAGCUUUGUUCAUCUAGAACUAAAGCCUUUGAGUGUGCUUUGA